rnacentral:rRNA from 1 species
GAUGAACGCUGGCGGCGUGCCUAAUACAUGCAAGUCGAGCGAGUGGAUUAAGAGCUUGCUCUUAUGAAGUUAGCGGCGGACGGGUGAGUAACACGUAGGUAACCUGCCCAUAAGACUGGGAUAACUCCGGGAAACCGGGGCUAAUACCGGAUAACAUUUUGAACCGCAUGGUUCGAAAUUGAAAGGCGGCUUCGGCUGUCACUUAUGGAUGGACCCGCGUCGCAUUAGCUAGUUGGUGAGGUAACGGCUCACCAAGGCAACGAUGCGUAGCCGACCUGGGAGGGUGAUCGGCCACACUGGGACUGAGACACGGCCCAGACUCCUACGGGAGGCAGCAGUAGGGAAUCUUCCGCAAUGGACGAAAGUCUGACGGAGCAACGCCGCGUGAGUGAUGAAGGCUUUCGGGUCGUAAAACUCUGUUGUUAGGGAAGAACAAGUACAAGAGUAACUGCUUGUACCUUGACGGUACCUAACCAGAAAGCCACGGCUAACUACGUGCCAGCAGCCGCCGUAA